rnacentral:rRNA from 1 species
GAUGAACGCUAGCUACAGGCUUAACACAUGCAAGUCGAGGGGCAGCGGGAUUGAAGCUUGCUUCAAUUGCCGGCGACCGGCGCACGGGUGAGUAACGCGUAUCCAACCUUCCGUACACUCAGGGAUAGCCUUUCGAAAGAAAGAUUAAUACCUGAUGGUAUGAUGAGAUUGCAUGAUAGCAUCAUUAAAGAUUUAUCGGUGUACGAUGGGGAUGCGUUCCAUUAGGUAGUAGGCGGGGUAACGGCCCACCUAGCCAACGAUGGAUAGGGGUUCUGAGAGGAAGGUCCCCCACAUUGGAACUGAGACACGGUCCAAACUCCUACGGGAGGCAGCAGUGAGGAAUAUUGGUCAAUGGACGAGAGUCUGAACCAGCCAAGUAGCGUGAAGGAUGAAGGUCCUACGGAUUGUAAACUUCUUUUAUACGGGAAUAAAGUAUCCUACGUGUAGGAUUUUGUAUGUACCGUAUGAAUAAGCAUCGGCUAACUCCGUGCCAGCAGCCG